rnacentral:rRNA from 1 species
UACGGGAGGCAGCAGUGGGGAAUAUUGCACAAUGGGCGCAAGCCUGAUGCAGCCAUGCCGCGUGUAUGAAGAAGGCCUUCGGGUUGUAAAGUACUUUCAGUCGUGAGGAAGGUGUUAAGGUUAAUAACCUUAGCAAUUGACGUUAGCGACAGAAGAAGCACCGGCUAACUCCGUGCCAGCAGCCGCGGUAAUACGGAGGGUGCGAGCGUUAAUCGGAAUUACUGGGCGUAAAGGGCACGCAGGCGGUUAAUUAAGUUGGAUGUGAAAUCCCCGGGCUUAACCUGGGAAUGGCAUUCAAGACUGGUUAGCUAGAGUCUUGUAGAGGGGGUUAGAAUUCCAUGUGUAGCGGUGAAAUGCGUAGAGAUGUGGAGGAAUACCGGUGGCGAAGGCGGCCCCUGGACAAAGACUGACGCUCAUGUGCGAAAGCGUGGGGAGCAAACAGGGAUUAGAUAC